rnacentral:rRNA from 1 species
GUGAGGAAUAUUGGUCAAUGGGCGAGAGCCUGAACCAGCCAAGUCGCGUGCAGGAAGACGGUCCUAUGGAUUGUAAACUGCUUUUAUUUAGGAAUAAACCCCCGGUCGUGCACCGGGGCUGAAUGUACUAAAAGAAUAAGCACCGGCUAACUCCGUGCCAGCAGCCGCGGUAAUACGGAGGGUGCAAGCGUUAUCCGGAAUCAUUGGGUUUAAAGGGUCCGCAGGCGGGUAAAUAAGUCAGAGGUGAAAUCCGGCAGCUCAACUGUCGCACUGCCUUUGAUACUGUUUAUCUUGAAUUUUAGUGGAGUGGGCGGAAUAUGUCAUGUAGCGGUGAAAUGCUUAGAUAUGACGUGGAACACCGAUAGCGAAGGCAGCUCACUAACUAUGAAUUGACGCUCAUGGACGAAAGCGUGGGUAGCAAACAGGAUUAGAUACCCCGGUAGUCC